GCGAAGCAUCUGCCAGGAUGUUUUCAUUAAUCAAGAACGAAAGUUAGGGGAUCGAAGACGAUCAGAUACCGUCGUAGUCUUAACCAUAAACGAUGCCGACCAGCGAUUAGGAGACGUUGAAUACAAAACACCACCAUCGGCGCGGUCGUCCUUGGCGUCUCGGUCCUUCACGGGGCCGGGGCGCGGGGGCGGCUUAGCCCGGUGGCACCGGUGAAUGACUCCCCU
rnacentral:rRNA from 1 species